rnacentral:lncRNA from 1 species
AAACGCCCAUGCACUCCCCGCCCUUCUUCCUCAGGCUGUGCCCAUCAAAACACACGGCACUUGGGUGACAGCAGCACAAGAAGCUUGUUCAGAGCCUGUGAUGUCCUCUCUGUACCUGGCCUAUUGUCCUCUGGAUGCUCGCAGCAAUGGGUGGGGCAAGUAGCCUUUAUAUAGGCAGCCACCCUGAAGCCAGAGACAUGGAGUGCCUGUCUCAAGUCACCUGAAAUCCAAGACACAGCACUGAUUUGAACUUCUGGCUUCUGGCACCACAGGCCCCAAGCGCAGCUCUUCCUCCUCCACAGGCCUGGAGGCUCUGCACACCUGCUUCCUGCCUUCCAGGGGAGACUGUACCUAAGAUGCUUUCAGCAUCUAUUCUGUCCCGAGCAUGGGCCAGAGAGAGUAGCAGACACUCACCUGUCGGGAGAACCCACGCCAAGCAGGCCAGCAGCCAGAUGGACUUUUCCAUGCUGUAUCAAGACGCUCACCUUUUAAGAGGCUUGCCCUAACUGGAGUGCUGGAGUCUGAACUUUCUUUGAACAUCGUUUGAUCUCAGAUGCAGCCAGUCCUGUGCACAGCCUGAUGGGAUGGAAUGUUCAGGAUCAUCAUGUGAUUCCCCUGGGUGGCCUAGCUGAGGGACACAAAUUUCCCCAGGCAGAGAAGACAGCACAGGAGGAAGAAGCUCCAAUAUCGAGAGUGAGAGGGCUGCAAAUUCGUCAAGAGCUGGCACCUCCAACCAAAAAUGUGCAGUUAUCGAUCAAUAAAACCAGCUUUUGUUUUAAUUUUUGACUUUUUGAUUUUUAGUUUUUUCCUCCCCAGCCAUCAUGGUGCUGCAUGCCC